GCAGUUACACACACACACACACGCAGGCACACACACACACACACACACGCAGAGAGAGAGAGAGCAUUACUUUUACCAGGCGGAAUAGAGGCAGACAGCACGGCAGACAUUAGGAAGCAGUUAGAUAACAGCGCUGCGAGCGCUACACACACAGUUCUUCUUUUUUUCUUCUUGUAUUGUGUUUGGCUGUUUGUGCGUUGCCACUUGUUGACCAGAGACCCGCUGCCUCCCCACUAUCAUCUGCGUGGCAUACGAGGACGACAACAACAACGUCGACCCGACGGCAACGGCAACGGCUAAGUGAGCGUCAGCGUCAGCAUGUGGGAGAGCAAGUGAGAGCGAUAAAGCAGCGAGGCUCGUUGCUUGCUGGUUUCGGUGUGCGAGUGCGAGUGCGACAGAGAGAGCGACAGCGCAAGCGAAAGAGAGAGAAAGAGAAAGAACGAGAGCGAGAGACGCAGAGACGCAGAGAGUAAGGAAAGCGAAAGGACGACGACGUCGAAGCCGAAGCCGAGCAAACGAACGAACGAACAGCAGCAGACGACGACGAGGCUGCUUCGUUAGUCGGGCAGUGUGCCGUGCAACAGAUGCUGUGAAACAUCCAAGCCCAAAGGUUGUGUGUGUCACAAAAACGUCGCAACGCCCACACACACACACACACACACAUAUUUACAGUCGAUUGUGUGUGUGCAGUGAAUAACAGAGCGCGCAACAAGCGACACACGACACACAACCGACGACGACGACGACGACGACGAAGUAGCAACAGCUGAACAAGAACACAGCUAAAGCCAGAGUGCCGGAGGCGUCUCAACAUCAUCUACACGUCACUUUCCACACGCCACAACAACAGCAACAACAACAUCACGGAACGACUGUCGACCGAGUCCACGGGGUCUCAUUGAGCAUCCACAACCUCUCAUCAUACACAUCACAUGUUUUGAACGUGCAACAAGUUUUGGAAAUUUCUGGCGCAAAAAUCGCAAAAAAAAGAAAGAAAAAAGAAGAAGAAAAAAAAAACAAUCAUCGCAAAAUUUAUGCAAAAUUAGCUAAAGUCCAAAAUUUUCCAUCAUCUGCGUUUUUUUUUUCGUGUGGAUCUCCAUAAAGUGUGAUUUUUUUUUUCAAGUCAAAAGUGUGUUAAGCGUCAUUUUUUUUCAACGUUCGUGCUACAUAAAUACCUAACUUCCGUUAACUUGACGUACAAAAAAAAACCGCAACAAGAAACAUAAAAUAAAACAAAAUAACAAUAAUCUAAACAAUCACAAAUAAAACCUCAUGAUAAAUGAUGAAUAAACCCAACGAAUAGCAAUCCGUAUGCAAAAGAGAUGACCUGAAGCCAGAGUACAAGCAGAGCAAACCGAAACUGAAUAAUCAACAUAUAUUUAUAUAGAGAACAUUACCCAGAUUCCCCCCAAGAAGGAGAGAGAGUUAUUCAUAUACAUCAAAUAAAAAGAAAAUGCAUAUAUAUUUCUACAUUUGUCAAUCCAUAAGCAAGAACCUAGAGUUAGGAGCGAACGAGAAGAAGGAAGAGAAUGCACAGAGAUCAAACAGCAUUAUAGUUUACAACAUACAAGUCAACUAGAGCCCCUCAUAAAAAAGGUUGCAUUGUUGUUAUCUAUUGCUUGAUGACAAAGAAAAUUGGAAACACAGAAAAUUCACAACACACAACACUCAAAACAUAUAUAUAUUACAAAGAAAGAAAACAAAAAUAUAUGUAAAUUGAGCUGAAAGAUGGUGGUAUUUUAUCAAAAAAUCAAAAUGAAACUGAAUACACAAAUAUCUUAAAUUUGAGACGUAUAUGUUCAUAAUUCAAUAUAUAUGUUGUCAAAACAAAACCAAAACCAAAAAGAAAAAGCAAAAAAUCUGCACAUCAUUUGAAUAACCAAAAUACAAAAUACAAUAAAUUUAACCCAAAACAAAAGUAACGAAUAAUCAAAUCAUUAAGGUAAAAGCGAAAUCCAAGAACUCACCGCAGCAAAGAAGAACGUAAAUCAAUUCGACAAAAUUGUAUCUCUGUGUCUCUGUGUGUAGAAAAUUCCCCAAAUUCCCCGCCCCACUUAAAGCAAAAAAAAAAAACAAUAUUUUAAAUACAGCCAAAAUAAAACCGAAAAAACGGAAAAAUCUACAACAAUUGCAAACAAUAGCAAAAUCAAAGAAAAAAUUAAUAAUACCAAUAAUUAAAAAGAACCUGUGAAAUUUUGUGAAUUUGCAAAUACUAUUCCCACACAUU